GGAUUCCGCGGCGAAUGAGCCGCGGCCUCAUUGAAGC
rfam:Acidobacteria bacterium RIFCSPLOWO2_02_FTLL_68_18 rifcsplowo2_02_scaffold_1795, whole genome shotgun sequence.